rnacentral:rRNA from 1 species
CUAAGGGCACCACAAGAACGCGUGGAGCAUGUGGCUUAAUUUGACUCAACGCGGGAAAUCUUACCGGGUCCGGACACACUGAGGAUUGACAGGCAAUAUUAAUACUUUGCUUCGGCAUUGUAUUAUGUUAAAUAUGCUAGUCCUUUCAUGAUUAUGUGAUAGGUGGUGCAUGGCCGUUCUUAGUUCGUGGAGUGAUCUGUCUGCUUAAUUGCGUUUCACUAAGGGCCUAUAAAUUUACGUAUGUUGUAUCGCACUUUGACCCCUUUCUUUAAUUAGAAAGCGCGUGUCUUAGUUUCGCUUUGCUCAUACAAUUAGGUCCUGAAAGCAACGAACGUGACCGCAACCUCUUGUUGCCUUUAUACCAAACAUGUUUAUUCAUUUUUUAAUGUUCAUUCAUGAAAAAAGGCUUUUUAAACUAGAGGGACCGCUGUUACUUUCUUAAACCAGAGGAAGGUUGCGGCAAUAACAGGUCUGUGAUGCCCUUAGAUGUUCCGGGCUGCACACGUGCUACAAUGAUUAUUGCAGUGAGCAUCUCAUUUUUACACACCGCAUGCGCGAGUCCAUUUAUUCACCUUCGGGUGUUUUAAAUGUGUACCUCUGCGCGCGGUAAAGCCUGCUUCGAAAGUAAGUGGGUAAUCAAUUAGAAGUAAUGAUUUCCUUUUUUAGCACACAUAUAUACGGCGUCUAUGCCCGGGUUACCUUGUUGUAGCUUUUGUGUGUAUAGAUGUUUUUUCCGUAUGUGCGAUUGUCAAUUCAUGGUGGGGACAGACCAUUGUUAAUUGUUGGUCUCGGUCUUAACUAGGAAUGCCUUGUACGGGUCUUUGGUUCAACAAACCACCCGGAAUACGUCCCUGCCCUUUGUACACACCGCCCGUCGCUCUUACCGAUGGACUUCUCUGUGAGUUUGAGGGACUGGGAACGCAGGAAUU